GAACUGAAGAGUUUGAUCAUGGCUCAGAUUGAACGCUGGCGGCAGGCCUAACACAUGCAAGUCGAGCGGCAGCACGGGUACUUGUACCUGGUGGCGAGCGGCGGACGGGUGAGUAAUGCCUAGGAAUCUGCCUGGUAGUGGGGGAUAACGCUCGGAAACGGACGCUAAUACCGCAUACGUCCUACGGGAGAAAGCAGGGGACCUUCGGGCCUUGCGCUAUCAGAUGAGCCUAGGUCGGAUUAGCUAGUUGGUGAGGUAAUGGCUCACCAAGGCGACGAUCCGUAACUGGUCUGAGAGGAUGAUCAGUCACACUGGAACUGAGACACGGUCCAGACACCUACGGGAGGCAGCAGUGGGGAAUAUUGGACAAUGGGCGAAAGCCUGAUCCAGCCAUGCCGCGUGUGUGAAGAAGGUCUUCGGAUUGUAAAGCACUUUAAGUUGGGAGGAAGGGCAGUUACCUAAUACGUAUCUGUUUUGACGUUACCGACAGAAUAAGCACCGGCUAACUCUGUGCCAGCAGCCGCGGUAAUACAGAGGGUGCAAGCGUUAAUCGGAAUUACUGGGCGUAAAGCGCGCGUAGGUGGUUUGUUAAGUUGAAUGUGAAAUCCCCGGGCUCAACCUGGGAACUGCAUCCAAAACUGGCAAGCUAGAGUAUGGUAGAGGGUGGUGGAAUUUCCUGUGUAGCGGUGAAAUGCGUAGAUAUAGGAAGGAACACCAGUGGCGAAGGCGACCACCUGGACUGAUACUGACACUGAGGUGCGAAAGCGUGGGGAGCAAACAGGAUUAGAUACCCUGGUAGUCCACGCCGUAAACGAUGUCAACUAGCCGUUGGGAGCCUUGAGCUCUUAGUGGCGCAGCUAACGCAUUAAGUUGACCGCCUGGGGAGUACGGCCGCAAGGUUAAAACUCAAAUGAAUUGACGGGGGCCCGCACAAGCGGUCGAGCAUGUGGUUUAAUUCGAAGCAACGCGAAGAACCUUACCAGCCCUUGACAUCCAAUGAAUCCUUUAGAUAUAGAGGAGUGCCUUCGGGAGCAUUGAGACAGGUGCUGCAU
rnacentral:rRNA from 1 species